rnacentral:misc_RNA from 1 species
AACGCACCUUGCGCCCCUUGGUAUUCCGAGGAGCAUGCCUGUUUGAGUGUCGUGAAGUUCUCAACUCCUCUUUUCCUUGUGGAAAAGGGUGAGCUUGGACUUGGGGUUUGCUGGCUUAUGUCGGCUUCUCUUGAAUGCAUUAGCUGGAACUUGAUUUUGUAGCAUAUAUGCGGUGUGAUAAAUGUCUUCACUGUGUUGCUCAAGUCAAUCUGGCUUCGAAUCGUCCUUUGACAAUUAUGACAAUUAGGCCUCAAAUCAGGUAGGACUACCCGCUGAACUUAA